CAAGCCAUCCUUCUCCGAAAGGCUGCAGUCGGCUCAUGCUUAUUGCAGUACUCAGAAUCAAAACCACGACCACAAAAUUCGACCUAAUAUAUAGCCACAUAGGAGAGAAUCAAAAGAACAGUUGGUAAAGUAAGAUUAGUAAUCUUGUAACCAUCUUCUCUUUUGGUUCCUGUCCUGUAAAUUCGGAACACAACUAUGUUUCCAACGAUCUGAGCAACACAGAAGCAAAGAACAGCGGCUGUUCCGAGCCAAAAAGCAUGGCUUCUUGGUAUAUAACAGUUCCUCUCUGUGUCCCAUCGAACGUCUUCUUUCUACAGACAUGGAUAUUUCAGAAAACGUUGGUUUGAACUUUUCGAUUAACGAAACACAAAAAGAGACUUUUAAUGGAAGUUAGCUUACGUGGUACCUUUGUUCUCUUGAACUCGGCUAUAAAACAUGUGAUGAAGGAAACGAGACCAAGAAGGAACACGACCGAGUGGAGAACAUGGUUGUGCAUAGUUUCUAAUGAUCUUUGUACCCUGUAAGAUUUGUGGAUGCACGUAUAUAUGUAUAACUCUACAACAUAAAUGUUUAAUCUUCUUUGUCAACUAAACAAGAGUGGGAAAGGGCCAAGUAGCUGAAUAUUCUUAGUUAUAUCAAAUGAUAUUUUUCAAAAACAAAUUUGAAGGAAA